AGCAGCCGCGGUAAUUCCAGCUCCAAUAGCGUAUAUUAAAGUUGUUGCAGUUAAAAAGCUCGUAGUUGAAUUUCGGGAUCAGUUGGUCGGUCGUGCCUCGGUACGUACUGGUCAAAUUGAUUCCUACCUUCUGACGAACCACGAUGUCAUUAAUUUGGUGUCGUGGGAAAUCAGGACUGUUACUUUGAAAAAAUUAGAGUGUUUAAAGCAGGCUCGCGCUUGAAUACAUUAGCAUGGAAUAAUGAAAUAGGACGUUUGAUUCUAUUUUGUUGGUUUCUAGGAUCGACGUAAUGAUUAAUAGGGAUAGUUGGGGGCAUUAGUAUUCAAUUGUCAGAGGUGAAAUUCUUGGAUUUACUGAAGACUAACUACUGCGAAAGCAUUUGCCAAGGAUGUUUUCAUUAAUCAAGAACGAAAGUUAGGGGAUCGAAGACGAUCAGAUACCGUCGUAGUCUUAACCAUAAACUAUGCCGACUAGGGAUCGGAUGAUGUUAAUUUUUAAUGACUCAUUCGGCGCCUUACG
rnacentral:rRNA from 1 species